UUGCUUGAGCAGAAAUACACUAAAAUUGGAACCAUGCGGAGAUUAGCAUGGCCCUUGUGCACGGAUGACAUGCAAAUUCAUGAAGUGUUUCAUUAUUUU
rnacentral:snRNA from 1 species